CUCGCUGCAGCAAACAGAAAGGGGCGGGGACGGACCUUUCCGUCAGUCCCAUACCUUAUUUGGAAAUGGGACUAUUGCAUUCCGGAAAUGAAGGGGGCGCUAUUUUCAUAAUCACUAGUAUAAAUGCCUUAAAGACGCGGGGUUAAGAGGAAAGGAAGAAGAAAGAAAGAAGUUUGAAAAGUUUUUGCACUGGUGUUCGGCACACGAUCCAUAAUGCAAAACCCACAAAAUCAACAAAAGGUCCAGAGAAGAACUACAAAAGGAGAGAAAGCGGAAAAAAGUUGAUGAGAGGGCAAAAUGUGAGACUCUGUGUGCUGAUGACCACACCUAUGCCAAAGGAGCCGAAGCACAAAUUGAGGUAGAAAGGAUACCGCCAAUCUUACAGAUGCGGAGGAGAGGAGAGUACCCUCGUUACUACUGUGAUGGCAUACCUGGACUUUGCCCUGAGUGCCAACAUUGAAUUCAAAGAAAAUAUAAGUUGCUUUCCACAAUCUGUCACAUAUUGUUAGUUUUUUUUUUUGUGACAUGCCAUUUGAAAUCGUUUCUGAUAAAGAAUAUUUACCUUUUGACUUGUGCAGUCCUCCUUUUUCAUAAUGUGUUCUUUCAAUAUUAUUUACAUUUUUGAAAGUUCCUUUUGUUGUAGCUCAGUUGAUUUACAUAAUUUAGUUUUCAUAGAAAUGGUGUCGUUUCCACAAAGUUACAUUGUGGCUGUAAUUUGUUGGAGAGACAGUAGAACCAAUAAAGUAGUUGUAAAUAUA